GGUCUCACUGUCUGUAAGCCAGGCCUGAUCACCUGCCUGGAGCAACGAAAAGAGCCCUGGAAUGUGAAGAGACAGGAGGCAGCAGACGGACAUCCAGGUUGUACUUUUUUUGAGACAGGGAUUUAUUCUGUCACUCAGGCUGGAAGUGCAGUGGUGUGAUCGUGGCUCACUGCGGCCUCCACUUCCCAGGUUCAGAGAUGGGAUUUCACCAUGCUACUCAGGCUUGUCUUGAACUCCUGGGCUCAAGCGAUCUGCCUGCCUCAGCCUCCCAAAGUGCUGGGAUUACAGGUGUGAACCACCGUGCCCAGCCAGGCCUCAAUGUUUCUGUGGACAAAUUCACUGCUAUGUCUUCUCAUUUUACCCAAGACCUUCUGCCAGAGCAGGGCAUACAAGAUGCAUUCCCAAAAAGAAUACUGAGAGGAUAUGGAAAUUGUGGCCUUGAUAAUUUAUAUUUAAGGAAAGACUGGGAAAGUUUAGAUGAGUGUAAGUUGCAAAAAGAUUAUAAUGGACUUAACCAAUGUUCAUCAACUACCCAUAGCAAAAUCUUUCAAUAUAAUA
rnacentral:lncRNA from 10 species